CAAUUGCCGAAGUUACCUUAAUGCUGAAAUUUUGGGUCAAUUUGGUCAAAAAUAGUCAAUUUGAUGCAAAAUUUGAAAUGAACUGCUUCCAAAUUAAUUUGAUAGCUUGUUAAGGUUUAUUAGUGUUAUUUGGAAGUGAUUAGAUGUGUUCGAAGCAAACAAGACGCGAAAUAGGGCUUCAAGUUACUGCUACCAAGCUAUUGGUUAGUGCAGGGACUAAACCGCGAACCUGCAGGGACUAAACUGUGAACCUGCAGGGACUGAACUGCGAAUUUCUGGACUGCACUGCAGUUUCAGCAGUUUGAAGGGCUAAGGUGUAGUUUUUUGAGCUUAUCACUUAGCCCCAAGUUGCCUACACCUGCCUACGUAUCAGGGAUUUUUUUCCCACAGCUCCUUUCUCAUCCUUUUCAUCUUUCUUUUCUUUCUCAACCCUAAGAGCAAGCUAGGGAAGAAAAGCUUGGUGGAGUAGGAUUUCUUGUUGUUGGAGCAAAGAAGCAACCUUGUGGAGCUGAGAAGAAAUUUGAAGCUGUGAGCAAGUUAAAUUCAGCAAAGGGCAAUUUGGAAGAGCACUUAAUUAAGGAAUUUAAGUAGAAGUUUAUGUGUUGUGAGCUGAAAAGAAAGUUUUGGAAGCUGAGUAUCAGCUGUGGAACCUUGAAAUUAAGGAAAUUGCAAUUUGGUGAACUGGGCAGCAGAAUUGGAGGAAGUUCCUGCUGUUGGAGUAGCCGAACAGGAGGCUUGGGCUAUUCGAAUUGAGAGAAAGAGAGAGAUUUGGUGAGAUAUCUAAGUCAAGUGGCUAAUUUGGAGCUUCGAGUUGAGUGGUGCUGCCGAAUUAGAGUUGCAGCUGAAGGAUAGUGUCCCUGUUGUUGGAGCUAUCUAGUAGAAGAAUUGGGCCUCUUGAAUUGAGAGUGAUCUAGAGAAUUAUCAAAUAAAGUGGACAGAUUAAGCUGUGUGCGGGCUGUUGGGAUUGCCAAAGCGAAGACCCAAUUGUGAAGCUGCUGCGGCUUCAGGAAUUUCUGGGUACCCAGAUUUAAAGAGGGAGUGAAGGUUGAGAGCUUGCUAGUUAAUUGAGCAGGAGGAGCUCAAAAUUGAGGUCGGCGACGCACUAAUUACGGUAAAAGCCGUUUAGGAUUUAUUUGCGUUGGGUCGCGUGAGAUCAUCAUUGACACAGUUCGAGACGUGGAUUCCAGUUAGUUGGCAUCCCUACAGGUCCUAGCACGAGCGGGGCGG